rnacentral:rRNA from 1 species
AGCAGCCGCGGUAAUUCCAGCUCCAAUAGCGUAUAUUAAAGUUGUUGCAGUUAAAAAGCUCGUAGUUGAAUUUCGGGGUUUUACCGUUGGUCGGGCUAUCCAGUCUGUACUGAUGUGUAAAAUUCCUACCUUCUGGGGAACCACCAUGUUAUUAAUUUAGCGUGGUGGGAAACCAGGACCUUUACCUUGAAAAAAUUAGAGUGUUCAAAGCAGGCUUACGUCUGAAUACAUUAGCAUGGAAUAAUAAAAUAGGACGGUGGUCCUGUUUUGUUGGUUUCUGAAUCACCGUAAUGAUUAAUAGGGAUAGUUGGGGGCAUUAGUAUUCAAUUGUCGGAGGUGAAAUUCUUGGAUUUAUUGAAGACUAACUUCUGCGAAAGCAUUUGCCAAGGAUGUUUUCAUUAAUCAAGAACGAAAGUUAGGGGAUCGAAGACGAUCAGAUACCGUCGUAGUCUUUAACCAUAAACUAUGCCGACUAGGGAUCGGACGAUGUUAAAUUUUAUUGACUCGUUCGGCGCCUUAC